CCUCUGUUGGGCUAUAGCAGGCAGUGAGGGGCCUCCGUGGGGCUGUGACAGGCACGUGGGACCUCCGUGGGGCUGUGACAGGCACGUAGGGCCUCCAUGGGUUUAUAGCAGGCAGGUAGGGGCCUCCCUGGGGCUCUGGCAGUCAGGUGGGGGCCUCCAUGGAGCUGUAACAGGCACGUGGGGCCUCCGUGAGGUUGUAACAGGCACGUGGGGCCUCUGUGGGGUUAUAGCAGGCAGGUGGGGUCCUUCCUGGGGCUAUUGCAGGAAGGUAGGGGCCUCCGUGGGGCUCUAGCAGGCAGGUGGGGGCCUCCGUGGGUUUAUAACAGGCAGGUGGGGCCCUCCCUGGGGCUUUAGCAGGCAGGCGGGGGCUUCCACAGGCUACAAACACCCCGGGCUCCUUCUUCACUCUUCUCUCGGAUCGUCUUCGGUUUUCGUGUUCGGUCCCUGUUCUUGCUGAAGUCCCACUGGGUUAGGUACUCCUGUCACCAUCUUACAGACGUGCAAACGGAAGGUCCCAAGAAGCAGACUGGCCGGACUCGACCUCUUCAGAGGACUUCUUCCCUCCUGCCUGCAUGUGUCCGUGUACCUGCCCGUGCCUGGAUCGGCCGGGAACGGGGGCAGGGUCUCUGCUCAGAACGUGGUCUUCCUCCUAGAUGUCCUGUGUCUGGUCCCACACGUAGCCCCCGGCUUGUCUCUGCCCGGUGUCCCCCGGCUGUGAUUUUCUGGUUCUGUUUCUCCAGGAACUUUUGUGUCCUGCCCCACGAGCGUUUAUACGUUCUCGGCAAUCUGGUUUUUAUCCUU